AUGGUUAUCCUUUAUCAUUUCGGAAACUCGGGAUGCUCGUCUUACUUUACCAAGGACCCUGGCGAACACGUAGGACAUGGCGUUGGCGUGAACCAGUCCCACAGAGACCAGCACCUGUGCCAUCCAGGUCAAGGAGAGCCAGAGAUCUGGGACACUCAGGUCCAUGAAGGCUGGACUGAAGUCGACCAGCUCACCUGUUCCUGGGCUCCCCCUGCCCCACCUGGCCUGGUCAGGUGCUCCAUGAAAGCCUUCUGGAGGAAGGCUGAGACGUCACAGCACACGGCAAUCCGUGCCUCUCUCGUGUUCACGUCCCAUCACCAGCAGCACACGGACUGGGGUGCGUUAUGGCCGUAUUUCCUGGGACAUCACAAGCUGCCUGUUUUAUCAGUUAUGAUUAAUUUGAUUGGAUCCGAGCCUCAUUUCUUCCCAUAAAGCAGAUGUUUAAGUCUAACUGAGGUGUGCAUGUCCAUGGAGAUGUGGUUUCCUCUCCCUUCUGCAGAUGACACACUCUGGGGAGAAGUGUGGAGAAGUUCUCUCCCCUCACCCUGAGUGCACGCUUCCUGAACUGCCUCUUCUGGUCACCUCUGGCUCUCCUUCAUCUACCCGGGCAGGCUCUCGAUAAAUAAUUAUGGAAGAGAGAGCGAAGGCUUGCCAGCGUAGUGCUCUGUGGAUCUGGAGGCAGCCAAGACUGAAUUCAUGAUGAGCCCGGGCAAUGGGGUUGGGUUGGGUUUGGUUUUAAUCCCCGCCCAACAUCUAUAUCCUUCUGGAGAUGCGGCAACAGGAAAGCAAUGUCCACAUCCGUCCUUCAGAUCUCUGUGGUCACGGAAGAGGCAGCUCAGCCGGGAGCCUUUCCAGCUCAAGAGGAAAAACCAUUGACCGUGGAGCGCGUCAGCUGCUCUGACCUUGGAGGUGGUCAGCCGUGCUUCUGAGUCCAACGGCCACCCACCACCACGUGCUCUUGCACAAGUCAUGCAUCUCCUAGGAAACACAGAUAUUAUUUUUUGUCUUGAAGAUGGGAGUGCCGUCAGCUGCGUUGUGUCUCUGCAAAAUUCAUGUGUUGAAGCACCAUUCCCCAGGACCACACAAUGUGGUAUUCUGUGUGGCUGUAUUUGGAGGUGAGGUCUUUAACGAGGGGAUUUUUGGUAAAAUGGAAUCACAAGGGUAGUCCCUGAUCCCAUAGGACUGGGAUCCUUAUAAGAAGAGGGGAUGAGGACACAGACAUGCCCAAAGUGAUGACCACACGAGGACACGGGGAGAUCACGACAACUACAUGCCCAGGAGAGACCCGUGAGGAGGCACCAACCUCAACCCCACCUGGAUCUCAGACUCCCAACCUCCAGGACCGAGAUAAUAAUGUAUGUCCGUUGUUGGAGCCAACCUGUCUGUGGUGUUUUAUGACCACAGUAAGUCAUAAUUUUGCUAUGUGUAUGUGUGUCUGUAUCUCUAUUUCUUAUAUAUAUGCCCAAAUAUAUAUAUUAUAUUCAAUUAGUCUCAUGGUGGAUUUUCUUUGAAGGAGCACUUUCUUUGGAGACAGUACGUGGGGUCUGGCGUCCCUUGUGAGUACUGAUUGCCUUUCUUGGGACAGUUUCAGCGUACAUGAGAGGUGGGUUUUAAGGGCACCCCUGUGUCUUUCUUCAUGUGUCCCUUCCCUUGCAUAUUCUACCAAGGGUCCUUUGACGGAACAAAAGACAGAAAGAGUUCAGGUGUGCCCUUGGAAACACAGAUGUGCCCUUGGAAACAUCCCCUCUGGGUGGAUGCCCAGCUGGGACAUCCUUCAGUGAUGUCCAGCGCCAGCCCACCCAGUCUUCCCCACCCUCAUAACAGCCCAGACGGGACAACCGAGUGACGUGACCAAUGGAUGGGGCUUGAGACAAGGGAACAAAUAGACCCAGCCAGAUGACCCCAUUUGGAUUCUGUAAGGUAACACAGCUGUCUAAUGGCACUGAAGACGUGACCCUUGCAUGCUGUGUCAAGUCAUGAGAACUCCAGAGAGCUGACAUCUCUUAGAGACAAGGAAAACCCCACUCUUUUCGUCUGGCAUCACAGGCUGCCGAAUGUCAUCCCAAACCACUGCAAAAUGCAGCCAGGAUGGCGUUCAACCCACCCGCUCCUCUGCAGAAGGUCGGGACUAUCUGUCCCUGCCUGGUGCCGUGAGAAACAACCACGUGGUUGAUGAGGUUUUCCGCGGGGACACAGAGCUGUCCCCGUGGGACUGAUGACUUUAUCCAUCCCUGGGAACAGAUGGAACACACAGCGUGCCAAGAUGCUGGGCUCAUGCCAUGCUGUGCUCUGGCCGACUGGUCUCCCUCAAGCCUUGGGAGGAGGCAUCCGGUUCUAUCUUCGAAAACUCUUGAUUUUGAGCACAAAAUAAAUGAUACACUACCAGAUUAUCACCUAAAGACUCACGUGGAUAACCGUGAUUCUGUAUCGAUAUAGGCUGUUGGUUGAAUGAAUAACACACAGGGGAGAUGAAUUCACAAUAGUUCAUCUAAAUAGUAGAGACUCGGGGUGAUGGAGCAAAUCUCCCCGUGCCUUCCUUGUGGGCUAGGUGAAGUGACUUCCUUCCAAAGAAUAACAUUAUGGAAGAGAAACUUGAUCAACACCCCCUCAACCAGAUGAUCAACGCCAAUGGCAAUGGGUCAGGUUGAUGGUAUGUCCCCAGACACGAGCUGAUAUGAAGGACACUUCAUCUCAGUGAUUUCCUACCCAAGAAUGUAUAAUCCCAGUGAAGGCAAGAGGAAAAUAUCACACACACCCCAGUGGAGGGACCCCCUACAAACCCCCUGACCAGCACUCAGAACUGUCAAGGUCAUCAAAUACAACAGUGGCCAGAGAGAUCGUCCCAGCCCAAAAGACCCCAAGAACCCAGGACAACCCGAUGUCAUAUGGGAUUCUGGAUCGAGUCCUAAGACACAACACACAUACUUGGGGGAGGGGAACCAAGAAAAUGUGAAGAACGUGUGGGCUUGAGUUACUACUGAUGUAUCCGUGUCUGUCCAUUAAUAGGAACAAAGGCAUCAAAGUCGUGUCAGAUGUUAACGGGAAGGGGAAAUGAGUGUGGGAUCAUCCUAAUGCUAAUAUCCUGCGAAGCCUGACUACUCUAAAAAAAAUUUUU
ensembl:lincRNA